CCUCUGUUUCUGGUUUUGAAGAAGAAAUCCUUUUCUCAGCCCAUUGUGCAGAUAGGCAGAUUUCCAAUGAAAGCGCCACUUGCCUAUAAGCUGGUAUGCCUCCAGCUCCCCAGGGUCCUGUGUACCUUUGUCUGUCUCCUGGGUGUCUGGACCUCAGGAGAUCAAAGUUCUGAUACUCAGACUUCUCUGUAUGGGGUUCAGGGAGGUUCCAUCCUGUUUCAGUUGAACACAAGCUUAGGAAAAAUGAUCCAAAGGGUCGAUUGGAGCCUUGACUCUAAGAAAAAACAUCUGCCUCUGUUCAGCCUCGAGCCUGAGACUGGGAAUCUAACUUUGAAGAAGAGUCUCCUCUGGAACAGAUAUGAGCAAAGAGCUCAUGUAACACCAACAUCCCUGAGAAUUGACAACCUCAUUCUUGAGGAUAAUGGAAACUUCAAAGUCCGAAUACAUCAUGAUGAAGUAAUCAGUGAACAAAGUUUCUUUCUCUCUAUUUAUGAACCGAUUCUCCCCAAGAUCAAGAUAAUCUCAAAGUCCCAGACAUCAGAUGGAUGCAACCUCACCUUGGAGUGCCAGAUCCUGAAGAUCUCAAAUGAUACAACUGUAACCUGGGGAAGUGGAGAUAUCCCCAAGAGGCAGGAGGAGAGCCUAGGGCUGCCCUCCAAUUCUAGGAUACUGAAUCUGUCCCUACCACCGAACCUCCAGAAUUCCUCUGUCACUUGCUUGGCUAAGAACCCUGCAGAGCAACAAAAGUCGACAUUAAAACUAAGUGAUGCCUGUCCUGAGAAGUCUUCAAUUAUGGAUUCUCCAGAGAAUAAGAGAAAUAGUGACAUGAACAUCCAAGAUGCAGUGCUCAGACCAAGUAGACCUGAAGACCAGAACCAGGUGAUUGGGAGUUGGGAACCUCUCAGGGCUCUCUGUAGUCCUCUCAUCCUCUAGUUCUGCCCUGUUGCCCUUUUCUAUUUACUGAUGCAAAAGAUGUCAGGAUGCUGUAAUAGGAGACCAGAAACUCAGUUCAUUCCUAGCUGUGUGAUUUUAGA
rnacentral:lncRNA from 1 species